UGAGGAGGAGGCAAAGCCAAGGGGGGUGCGCAGGGACUCGUGCAGGCGCAGCCCUUUCGCAUCAAGAGAUUGGCUAUAAGGAGAAGGCUGACGGCUGCAGCAUGAAGCGCAUUAUUACCUUGUGAUUCCAUGACCCUCCUCUAUGCAUCCCUAACUCUCGAAAGCUGAUUCAGCUUUCAGCUAGUGCUCUGGUGAGUCCUCUGCUGCAACAGAAGCUCCUAACUGAUUUGCCCCUAAAUACUCUGCUGAAUUGAAGAAGACGGAGAGCGUUAUUUUCAAGAGCAGGGACAGGCACAUCCCCUGUCACUGAGCCCAGCAAGGGCCAAAGCUGCAGGAUGGCUGUGGUUUGGUUUUGCUCUGAAACAAAGAUUCUCUGACUAUAUUACCAUGCACCAGCUGCAAGUAAAAUCACCCAGAGAGAAGACUGUUCAAAACCAUCAGAAGCCUCUGUUCCAGCCCUUGGCUGCAAUAUCUUUAGGACCUGCAAGAAAAAAGGGUUGUUUGGUCUUUUCUUGCUUCCCAACAGAGCACAGAGGUGUUAUGUGGUCAGCACAGCUUGGCCUGGGCUGCAUUCAAGCCAACAGAACUUGAAGCAUAUGCCAAAGGCAGGAGAUGAGCAGGUGAAAGGAAACCUUCAGUGUGCCGGUGCCCUACGUGCAGUUCUUCCUCUCUCGGCUGAGCCCUACGUCACCGGGGUUUGCAAAAGCUCUGGAAGCCCCCUGGGGACCGAAAGGCAAGAGGGAAUAUUCUCCAAAUGUGGUGGUUUUGUGGCAGCCCAGUAAAAGUGUUUGUGCGUGCCUUUGGAACUGCUACAGAAGGUCAUCUGAGCAGGGCUCAACACAGGAACCAGCUGCCAGGAGAAAUCAGGAGAUUGGAGACUGUCGAAGUAGACACGUGACAGAUUGUUUUUUGAGUCAUUCUGCGUCCAUCGCUAUGAUGAACCUGAAGGGCAGCCGUGCUGCAACUGGCAAUGGCCAAGCCGAGGUUGUCUCUUCUGCUGUUCCUCCUGCCAGCUCGUUUGGGCUGGUGGCCUUUUGGAAGAAGAGAUACUUGGAAUGUACAGACAAGAACAGGUACAGGAAAGCAUGAAGAAACACAGAAAUCAUUCAGCAUCCAUCCCUGGCCCAAGGAAGAAAAUGAAGACGCUGAGAAGAGAGCUGAUGAACACACCAAGGGAGGUGAGAAGAACAUUAAUUGCCUGUACAGCAGUGCAGCAAGUCUGAGCAAUAAAAAAAAAGUGGGAACGACUGAUUUAUGAGUGCAAAUUCUAUCUGGAGAGCAUGAGUUAAACUUGGGGAGAAAAUCCAUGUGUCUGGAAUAUUAAAAUCAAUAUUUGUAACCUAUUUAGAAAGAAUUGAGUGGGCAAAGAAGGUGCAGGAGGGACAAUCAAUAUCAGAAGUGACAUUGCUGCGUUCCAAGUACCACUAGAAAUCUGAGAGAAAGUGACCUCAAAUACAAAUAAAAAUCAAAAUAAGACACCUCCUAAGACCAUCAAACUUCACCAACAUCUUAGCCAUGUAUCUAUAUAAUAUUUAAGAAAAUUUCCCUAUGCUGUCCUGGGGAACCUCAACUUGGAUGAUGUGAGCUGGAGGGCUCUCUACUGGCUUUUGGAAUUCCUGAAUGUCUUAGAAGAUCAUUUCUUAAACAAUACCAGGAGGAUCUUCUACAAGAUCAUCUUGAAAGCUGGGGAACUUAUCAGAGAUCCAGAAACUAGCUAGAGCCAGCACAGAGGUGACCCCGUUUUGAUCGUAUGUGCUAAGCACCUGGAGGAUUUUAAACCGAAAAUGGGAAUGAUGUUUGGCAACUCUUUGUUUAAAAGCACUCUGCCUUCUAGGGAAUCUAGACCGUCUCAGCAUUGAGAAAGAGCAGGUUAUUCUGGCUAAAAGCAAGCUCAAAGUGGAGUAAGAAUAGGUCCAAAUUCAUGGAAAAGAAAGAAGGGAAAGCGAGUAGGAAUGGCUGUAAACCAGCCCCAAGCAGGAGGCUGUUAGGUGAAACCCGUGACUAGCAGACCUGAGGGCAAUAGGUAAGUGCUCUUUAGAUGUAAGAGACUAAAAGUAGUUGUCUAGACAGAAUAGCAGACAUUCAAACAAAAGAAUGCAUAAAAGGCAGACACUAAAUAUUUAAUUUCUCUAUUUUGGGGGGAAAAAAAAGCUAAGUGAAGCAGCAAUGUAAUAUGAUGAUAUGAAAUAUCUUCAGUUCAAACUCAGGAUGUUAAACAGCUGCUACUACAGCUAGAGGAUUUUUUUUAUCAGCAGUCCUCAACAGUCAGUGCCUGAGAGUCCUCAAAUCUGUCCCAGGAGUGCCCCAGGAUGGCAGCAUCUGCGGGGCCAGGAGUUUUCCAGAAGACCGAAGCAGCACUGACUUUGUGCCAAUGCGUAAAUGUCGAUGAGGAGAAUGACUCGUGUAAUUAUAAAUCUGAUUGUCUGAUGUUGGUUUUGUGAAAAAUAAUGGAAGAGCUGAUAAGGGACUUGAUUAAUAACAAUUUAAGGAGAAAAAUUAAUUACAAUCAACAUGAGUUAAUGGAAAAUAGAUCUUAUUAAAUGAAAUUUAUAUAAUUUCUCAAGAAUGUGAUUAUGGAUUUGAUUGAUUUAGUACAUUUCAUCAACACUGUUACGUUUGACUUCUGCGAGGAAUUUGCCUUAAUGUUGUCUCAUUUAUUAGGAAACUAGAACAAUGUAAAAUCAACACAGCACGUGCUAAAUGGAUGAAAGCCCUGCUGAUAUGUUUAAACAUAUCAGAGAAUCAUCUCAAGUGGCUGUGUUUCAGUUCAUUGUUUUUAACAAAUGGCAGAAAAGUCAGAACUCAUUGCAAUCAAAGUUUGCUGAUGAGACUUGGAGAAAGACCGUGGUCAGUAUGUUGACCGGUCCCUUCCUCUGACCUGCAUCUUUCAUGAACAAACAAUAAGCAAACAGCAGCCGGUUUCAUGUGGGCACACAUGAAGCCACACUUCUAGGAACAAGGGUGUCACUGCGGGGAGGAGGGAUUCCAUCCCACAAUGCUGGAAACUUGAAAAAAUAAUGGAGUGAAAUAUCUCUGGUGUAACACCUAGUGGGACACUGCAGCUAUUUCUGGUGUCUGCACCUCAAGAAGGAUGGUGAUGAAUGGGAGAGGGCAGACGAGAAUGACUGAAGCGUUGCAAAACAUGCCUUAUAGUGACAGAUUCAAGGACCCCAAUACGCUUAGCUUAACAAAGAGAAGGUUAAAGGGAUGGCUUAAUGACAAUCCAGAUGUAUUCAGACAGGGUACGGAAAUGCAGAAAGGGAGAGCUCUUCAAUCUAACAGACAGAGCUAUAAAAAGAGCCAGGGACUGGAAGCUGACACUGUCAAAUUCAGGGUGGGGAGAGUGUGCUUUUUAAAUUGGGAGAAGUAGCAUCAAAACAACUUCCCAACAGGCGGUUUCAUCAUCAAUGGCCGUUUCAAAGUCACGGGGAAUUUUUUUUUAUUGAUUAAAUCAUAUCCUGGCUCCACCAAAGAUCACUGUGACUUCACAUACGGACACCCACACUGCAUGGAUUGGGUGGUUCCUCUUUGAUUUUAUCAUGUAAUAAUAAUGAGUACUUAAGCCAUCAUCCCUGAGCACUGAGUGGGACAAUUGCCUUUUCUCAGAGCUAUUGGUCUGGUCUUGCUGGAGACUCACACAGACACCUUAGUGUUAUUAGUGCUUCAUCUUUGCCAGCAGAAAGGCUGGAAAAGCACCAUAAAACAGAACAAAACAAACCCAGCUUACAUCCCUGUGCUAUAAAGAAAUCCCUAAACACAGUGACAAAGAGUGCAGCUCAAAGCAAGUACAUGAAGGACCUGCAUUCCUGUGGCCCACCCUUGUCUGCUGCUUCUUUUGGUUUGAUAGAAUUUUCAGAGAUGCAACACAUCUGUAUUCCUUAAAAGUUGCUAAAACCAUGAGUAAAAAUGUGUAGUUUGAUGAUACGCUCAUCCGAGCCCAGGAAAUUGCAGAACGAGAGCGUUUCACUAUCUCAUACAGUUGAGCUUUCUGCAGCAGCUCCCCUGAUGUCUCAGCUUUCUGGUUUGGGAGUUGCUGAAAUUUCUGCUUUCAUGGAAACUCUUCAGCAGGAGCCCUGGCUACAAACCUCUCACUUGGAGCCUUCCUUUGACUUCUCCCGGACUGGUCUGCAAGCCCCAGCCAACACCUUACUGUGCAUCCAGAUGCACUGGGGACCAAACAGGUAUAUACAGAUACUGUAAUUUGUUUUUUUAAUUUGGGUACUGGGGUGUUAUUUCUGUGGUUUCAAACACUGAAAACAGUGUCAGGAAAAAAAAUUGUUUCCAAAGAAAUACCAUGAUGGGUGGAGUUGUUUA